GCCUUCGUGGAUCAUUGGGAUUACCUCGAGAAUUUAAGGGUUUCAAAUGUUAAAGUUAUUGAGGAGAAGGAGGUUCGAAUCCUCCCGAAGGCA